UAAGAAUCUUCCGCAAUGGGCGAAAGCCUGACGGAGCGACGCCGCGUGGACGAUGAAGGCCGGAAGGUUGUAAAGUCCUUUUCUCCGUGAAGAAUAAGGGUGCGAGGAAAUGCGCGCCUGAUGACGUUAUCGGAGGAAUAAGCCCCGGCUAAUUACGUGCCAGCAGCCGCGGUAAUACGUAAGGGGCGAGCGUUGUUCGGAAUUAUUGGGUGUAAAGGGCGCGUAGGCGGCGCUGCAAGUCCGGUGUUUAAGGCGACGGCUCAACCGUCGUUAUGCGCUGGAAACUGUGGUGCUGGAGUCUAGGAGGGGGAGCCGGAACUCCAGGUGUAGGGGUGAAAUCUGUAGAUAUCUGGAGGAACAUCGGUGGCGAAGGCGGGCUCCUAGCCAUAGACUGACGCUGAGGCGCGAAAGCGUGGGGAGCAAAC
rnacentral:rRNA from 1 species